AUUAAACGCUGGCGGCAUGCCUUACACAUGCAAGUCGAACGGCAGCACGGGGGCAACCCUGGUGGCGAGUGGCGGACGGGUGAGUAAAGCAUCGGAACGUAUCCUGGAGUGGGGGAUAACGUAGCGAAAGUUACGCUAAUACCGCAUAUUCUGUGAGCAGGAAAGCAGGGGAUCGCAAGACCUUGCGCUCUGGGAGCGGCCGAUGUCGGAUUAGCUAGUUGGUGGGGUAAAGGCCUACCAAGGCGACGAUCCGUAGCGGGUCUGAGAGGAUGAUCCGCCACCACUGGGACUGAGACACGGCCCAGACUCCUA
rnacentral:rRNA from 1 species